rnacentral:rRNA from 1 species
CCUUUAGAUGGGCCCGCGUUGGAUUAGCUAGUUGGUGGGUAAAGGCCUACCAAGGCGACGAUCCAUAGCUGGUCUGAGAGGAUGAUCAGCCACACUGGGACUGAGACACGGCCCAGACUCCUACGGGAGGCAGCAGUGGGAAUAUUGGACAAUGGGCGAAAGCCUGAUCCAGCAAUGCCGCGUGAGUGAUGAAGGCCUUAGGGUUGUAAAGCUCUUUUACCCGGGAUGAUAAUGACAGUACCGGGAGAAUAAGCUCCGGCUAACUCCGUG